rnacentral:piRNA from 1 species
UCCUCCUUGGAUGGAUACUAACCAACAAAG